rnacentral:rRNA from 1 species
AUUGAACGCUGGCGGCAGGCCUAACACAUGCAAGUCGAGCGGAUGAAGGGAGCUUGCUCCUGGAUUCAGCGGCGGACGGGUGAGUAAUGCCUAGGAAUCUGCCUGGUAGUGGGGGAUAACGUCCGGAAACGGGCGCUAAUACCGCAUACGUCCUGAGGGAGAAAGUGGGGGAUCUUCGGACCUCACGCUAUCAGAUGAGCCUAGGUCGGAUUAGCUAGUUGGUGGGGUAAAGGCCUACCAAGGCGACGAUCCGUAACUGGUCUGAGAGGAUGAUCAGUCACACUGGAACUGAGACACGGUCCAGACUCCUACGGGAGGCAGCAGUGGGGAAUAUUGGACAAUGGGCGAAAGCCUGAUCCAGCCAUGCCGCGUGUGUGAAGAAGGUCUUCGGAUUGUAAAGCACUUUAAGUUGGGAGGAAGGGCAGUAAGUUAAUACCUUGCUGUUUUGACGGUACCAACAGAAUGAGCACCGGCUAACUUCGUG